UUGCUCUCCAGAAUGACCACUUUGUGUCCUCCCAUUUAUUUUGCAUCACCCGAAACUUCUUUACUAGCUACUGUAGGUUUAUAAUUAUAGGAGCACAUGGUGAAUAAAGAGCCAGCAUUGUCUGCCCUGGAAGAAAUAUUUAUUCUCCACCUGACUCCAUGCCAGAGUCUCACGUUUGGAUCUAUUAGUUACUGGAUGAGAAAAACAGAAACUGGUUCUAGGAGAAUUUCCUGUGGGAGUUGGCUUUGACAGAAGGAAAAGACCUGCGCAAAAACAAGGAGAAGAAUCGGAGGUGCUCCAGCUUCCCCAGGGAAGAGAUGUGAAAGAACCCUGAGCUGACAAUAGGGUACAA
rnacentral:lncRNA from 1 species